UAUAUACUCACGGCGGAGUUCUUUUUUGUUCAUUGCUUGGAAGUAAAAAGAGGUUGAAAAUACAUGCAGCGAUAUAGCCUACUGUUAACGAACAUCCCGACGUCGUCCAUGCUGCUCCGGACGACGGUUAGAUUAAUAUGUAAAUUAUGUGCUGCGCGCUUUCCACUCAGUAUCAAAAUAAACACAACAAAAAUGUCAGUGGUGAGAAAACGGCAGUUAGGAAAACAUCUGAUCAUAGCGAUGUGGAUAUGUUUGGACCUGCUCUGCAAUUCACCAGCAUCAUGUCAACAGAUGAGGGACAGUGGAGUCCUCUGACAUCCAACUGCUUCGGGCGAGUACGGCUGCCAGCCGUCCCAUCACAACAGAAGCGCAGAGCCUGGAGGAGGAGACCAGAAAUGCAGCCCAGACACUGACAAUCGGAGACGCAGCUGUCUCUCUUCAGCUGGAAUUACUGUGGCUUUAAAAGGAACUGAAGGAUGAAUUGGGCGCCCUAUUAAAAUGCAUUGGGUCCAGACGGCUGGAUAUCAAACCUCAGACGUCUGUCAGUCAAUCAGGUUUUCUCCUGCUGCGGUCAGAGGCACUCCGUACUAUGUAGACAGCGAGGCAGCUAACUGUGUUUGGGAACAGAGCAACAUCUAGGACAUCAUGCAGAGGAGAUCCUCCGGUCUGUCUGACAGUGAGGUACACGCGCUUCAGAAAAGCACAGAGGGGAACAUCUCAGCAUGAGGAAGAUGCCAGAAUACAACUGUGUCAUCUCAACACAGAUGUUUUGUGAGUGUAUGCCAAAAAUAAAAUAUCCUCUCUUUUGCCAUUCCAGGAAUAAAUCAAGCUGAGCUGACAAAGACUAGCCUCACAGGGUGUUUGACUGCUGCGUUUGAGUCUUUAAAAGAAAGUUUGAUACCACUA